GGUCGAGCAGAGAAGGCAGGUACAAUACUCCCGUUCCAUGAUACCCUUUGUUCCCAUCCAAGGUUCGAAUCUCUGGACCCAGUCCACACACCACAAAAUACUCGAAGAUCCGUGCCAUUUUGUGAUUGAUGGUUCCACCUCUCACCUGAAUUUUGCUUGUUUUCCUUUCUUUUCUGGGGAUGAUUUGAAAUGAUCAGAAGAUGAAAUGGUGUGAGAUUUGAUUUGGUUUCGCUAGCAUUUUUCUCUUUUACUUCUCAAAGAAUGGGCGUGGCGAGAUCAGGAAUGGAAAUGAAAUCAGAACUGCAAGUUGCGUACGGUUACAGUGUUACUAGUUGGUUUGAUUUGGCUUAUACACCGCUGACGAGCUUCCGCAACUGAAAAUCAGUCUCGCAAUAGCCGAUGACGAUUAUUAGAAGGAUUAAGGCCAAAUGACCCUGACCUUUACUCAAAAG
rnacentral:misc_RNA from 1 species